GUGUGCGCCUAGUGAUUUGAACGUCCGCCUAGGAUGCGGAAGGUCGUGGGUUCGAUCCCCGGCCGAGUCA